rnacentral:rRNA from 1 species
UACAGAGGUCCCAAGCGUUGUUCGGAUUCACUGGGCGUAAAGGGUGCGUAGGUGGCCGGGUAAGUUUGAUGUGAAAGCUCGGAGCUUAACUCCGAAAUGGCAUUGAAUACUAUCUGGCUGGAGGGUCGGAAGGGAGACUGGAAUUCUCGGUGUAGCAGUGAAAUGCGUAGAUAUCGAGAGGAACACCAGUGGCGAAGGCGAGUCUCUGGACGACACCUGACACUGAGGCACGAAAGCCAGGGGAGCAAACAGG